rnacentral:rRNA from 1 species
AGAGUUUGAUCAUGGCUCAGAACGUACGCUGGCGGCACGCCUAACACAUGCAAGUCGAACGAAGUAGCAAUACUUAGUGGCAGACGGGUGAGUAACAUGUAGGUAUCUGCCCUUUGGCCUGGAAUAACACGAGGAAACUUGUGCUAAUACCGGAUAAGUCUUUACGGAGAAAGCUUUAUGCACCAUUGGAUGAGCCUGCACUUGAUUAGUUUGUUGGUGGGGUAAUGGCCUACCAAGACUGUGAUCAAUAGCUGAUUUGAGAGGAUGAUCAGCCACAUUGGGACUGAGACACGGCCCAAACUCCUACGGGAGGCAGCAGUGGGGAAUCUUGCACAAUGGAGGAAACUCUGAUGCAGCGAUGCCGCGUGAGUGAAGAAGGCCUUUGGGUUGUAAAGCUCUUUCGUCGGGGAAGAAAAUGACUGUACCCGAAUAAGAAGGUCCGGCUAACUUCGUGCCAGCAGCCGCGGUAAUACGAAGGGACCUAGCGUAGUUCGGAAUUACUGGGCUUAAAGAGUUCGUAGGUGGUUGAAAAAGUUGGUGGUGAAAUCCCAGAGCUUAACUCUGGAACUGCCAUCAAAACUUUUCAGCUAGAGUAUGAUAGAGGAAAGCAGAAUUUCUAGUGUAGAGGUGAAAUUCGUAGAUAUUAGAAAGAAUACCAAUUGCGAAGGCAGCUUUCUGGAUCAUUACUGACACUGAGGAACGAAAGCAUGGGUAGCGAAGAGGAUUAGAUACCCUCGUAGUCCAUGCCGUAAACGAUGUGUGUUAGACGUUGGAAAUUUAUUUUCAGUGUCGCAGCGAAAGCGAUAAACACACCGCCUGGGGAGUACGACCGCAAGGUUAAAACUCAAAUGAAUUGACGGGGACCCGCACAAGUAGUGGAGCAUGUGGUUUAAUUCGAAGAUACGCGCAGAACCUUACCAACACUUGACAUGUUCGUCGCGACUUUAAGAGAUUAAAGUUUUCGGUUCGGCCGGACGAAACACAGGUGCUGCAUGGCUGUCGUCAGCUCGUGUCGUGAGAUGUUGGGUUAAGUCCCGCAACGAGCGCAACCCUCACUUUUAGUUGCCAUCAUUAAGUUGGGCACUCUGAAAGAACUGCCAGUGAUAAGCUGGAGGAAGGUGGGGAUGACGUCAAGUCCUCAUGGCCCUUACGUGUUGGGCUACACACGUGCUACAAUGGUAUCUACAACAGGAAGCAAGACUGCGAAGUUAAGCAAAUCCUUAAAAGAUACCUCAGUUCGGAUUGCACUCUGCAACUCGAGUGCAUGAAGCUGGAAUUACUAGUAAUCGUGGAUCAGCGUGCCACGGUGAAUGCGUUCCCGGGUCUUGUACACACCGCCCGUCACACCAUGGGAGUUGGUUCUACCUUAAGGCAAGGUUUCAAACCCUUGACCACGGUAUAGUCAGCGACUGGGGUGAAGUCGUAACAAGGUAGCCGUAGGGGAACCUGCGGCUG